UUUUUUUUUUUCUUCUUUUUCCUUCCUAGUGUUCUUAGGAUUUAUAGUUAAAUUUUACAUAGGUUUGCCAUAGGAUUAAGGAUUAAUUACUAACAAAGUUCAAACCUUGUAUCCAGUUUUCAGUGAUAGGAGUGAUUUGUGCCAAUUAUUAACAUUUAGUAUCCAUUAUGAUUACACUUCAAAGGGCAUAUUAAAAACCACAAAAUUGUAAGAUGACAUAUAAUUUUGUUUUAAAAGAAUUCAUGUGAGUGUCCAACAUUACCUAUUCAAUUGUAAGUAAAUCCAUAAAAAAUUAUUAGUUGUUAUUUAAUAUUUAAAAAAUGAAAAUAUAGAAAGAAAAAUCUGAGGCCCCAUUUUGGGUUGAGGUUGGGAGACAAAAAAAAGAGUGUUUUUCAGAAGAACACCAUUUUAGAUGAUGUUGAAAAAGCUAUUUAGUUGUUUUCGAGUUGUUAUGACUAAAACAUGUCAAAUUUAACUUUAAACCAAUUUUUAAUACCUCUAACUAAUAUAUUUAAGGAGUUGUGUUGCAUACCCUGAAUAUUGUCUUGCUUUUCCUUCCCUCUCCUUAAAUAUGCCACAUAUCAUAGGCUUUUGUGAAAUUUAUAUGAGUAAAAUACGUGAAUCUCAACAAUUUGAGAGUUUUGGUACAUGCCUCAAAUUUGGCUACCACUAACACAAAUAUUAAAGGUUUUGAAUAUAAUUGAUUCAAAUUAAAAAGCAUUGGCUGUAUUUGAAAAUUAGACUAAAGGUUUGAGGGUUUUCUUUUAUUAUUAUUAUUAUAAAUGAUAAAUGAAGUGAUUUGUCUCCGGCUUAAGAUCAUUUGUUACUGAGUUAGCUGGUGAUUGACUUUGGCUGGUGUUAUAUUUGUUUAUGUAUUUGAGUACACCUGAAACUUUUCUCUGGAGAAUGGAAAAAUGCGCAGAUAAGAUUUAGUUUAAGCUGUCCCUAAAAAUUAUUUAAAACUCAAGCACAUUUCAUGAGGCCACUUGGUAAUAAAUAAGAAUUAUUCUUGCCUACCCGCUGGUGUGUACACCUAUCUAAUUUACAACUGAUACAAUAUCUAAAAUUAUGGUGGGUCCUAUUAAAAAAUGUAGUCGGUCCUACCUAAAAUUAUUGUGUGCUGAUUUCUUAUUUCUGGGUGUAUAAAUCAAAUCAUAUACCUUGUCGUAGGUAAGAAAUUUUCAUUAAAAAACACCUUCAGAGUUGCUAACUUCUUUGAUUUUCUUCAUGAAGCUUGCUUUUGAUUAAAUGCUGAAUUAUUUAUGAUCCUCAAGUGGUUGACUCCUUCUGUGGGCUGCAAAUCUACUUUCCUCUGCUAUGAUAAUCAUUUUCAUCACCAUGAAAAUAAUUGAGUUCAGGACAGGUUCAGAAAUUCUUCUAAUCUUCCCUUUUUCCCCCUCUCUUGGUGAUGCUCUAUAGAGAUUUCAAGGUCGCACCUAUG
rnacentral:misc_RNA from 1 species